ACCCGCACAAGCAGUGGAGUAUGUGGUUUAAUUCGAAGCAACGCGAAGAACCUUACCAGGUCUUGACAUCCAACUAACGAAGCAGAGAUGCAUCAGGUGCCCUUCGGGGAAAGUUGAGACAGGUGGUGCAUGGUUGUCGUCAGCUCGUGUCGUGAGAUGUUGGGUUAAGUCCCGCAACGAGCGCAACCCUUGACUUUAGUUGCCAGCAGGUGAAGCUGGGCACUCUAGAGUGACUGCCGGUGACAAACCGGAGGAAGGUGGGGAUGACGUCAAAUCAUCAUGCCCCUUAUGACCUGGGCUACACACGUACUACAAUGGCCGGUACAACGGGAAGCGAAGCCGCGAGGUGGAGCCAAUCCCAGCAAAGCCGGUCUCAGUUCGGAUUGCAGGCUGCAACUCGCCUGCAUGAAGUCGGAAUUGCUAGUAAUCGCGGAUCAGCAUGCCGCGGUGAAUACGUUCCCGGGUCUUGUACACAC
rnacentral:rRNA from 1 species